UCAUUUGUGUACAAGCAAAGCGGACAUUUUAGAAGUUUGAAGGUAAGGGAGAUUAGCGGACGACUUUCAUUAAAAAAAAAAUCCCUCACAAAUUUGACGUGUAAUUAUGCCGGUUUUUAUAAUUCAUCAAGGAUAAUUUAAUUCAAGACCCGGUCGACCUCGUUUUUGAACCAGUAAAGUUGAGGCAAAUAUUUGUGUAUCGAAUGCGGGCGAGAUCCUGCUAGCCAUUCAUUUUGCAAGUGUGUGCGUUGUUUUUUAGCUCGCUAAAGAGGGCCCUUUCAGCUCUCAGACGCCAAAUCUCUGUGUAUUUUUUUCAAUAGACGUAUGUCCCGUGAACGUACAAAUUAUAAUUUUUGUCUUUGUCAUCUUUUAUUAAGAUAGUUAGAUUAGAAGCCCUUUGGAAUAUUGCUGGGCCAGCUAGCUUGCUAGCUAACAAUCGACAACCCCGCGUGCGCCGUCAGCUUUGUGAACUUGAAUUAGCCAUUAGCUAGCUUGUUUACAUUACUUGCUCAUCUAACUUCGAGAUCAUGGCAGAGUUGUACAUUCGCGUGGGAGAGGAUGAAAACGAAGAGCCAAUGGAGAUCCCAUCUGAGGAUGAUGGUACUGUUUUGCUGUCAACAGUAGCAGCCCAGUUUCCCGGAGCGUGCGGCCUACGUUACAGGAAUCCUGCGUCUCAGUGCAUGCGAGGCGUCCGUCUAGUUGAGGGUAUCUUACAUGCACCUGAGAAUGACUGGGGUAGUCUGGUGUACGUCGUCAACUACCCAAAAGAUAACAAAAGGAAGAUGGAUGAAAUGGAUGCUGUCUCUGCUGUAAAAAUGAAGAGAGGUAUCGAGAGAACUUCAGACCUCAUUAUCCUUGGGUUGCCUUGGAAAACAUCUGAGCAAGAUUUGAAAGACUACUUUGCCACGUUUGGAGAAGUCAUCAUGGUGCAGGUCAAAAGAGAUGUCAAGACUGGGAACUCAAAGGGGUUUGGCUUUGUUCGGUUCACUGAGUAUGAGACUCAAUCCAAAGUGAUUUCUCAGCGGCACAUGAUUGAUGGAAGAUGGUGUGACUGCAAACUACCAAACUCUAAGGCAGGUCCUGAUGAGCCCAUGCGCAACUGUAAAAUCUUUGUUGGCCGCUGCACAGAGGACAUAACCACCGAUGAGCUCCGGCAGUUCUUCAUGCAGUAUGGCGAGGUCACCGACGUCUUCAUUCCCAAACCCUUCCGGGCGUUUGCCUUUGUCACGUUCUCAGACGACCAGGUUGCCUCAGCCCUGUGCGGAGAGGACCUGAUCAUCAAGGGCGUCAGCGUGCACAUCUCCAACGCCGAGCCUAAGCACAAUAAUAGUAGGCAAAUGAUGGAUCGUGGGGCUGGUGGGUUCGGGGGUCAGGGCUAUGGCGGUGGUCGUGGAGGGCUACCAAGCAGUGGCAGUAGCGGGGUGAAUUUUGGGGGCUUUAGCCUUAACCCAGCCAUGAUGGCUGCCGCUCUGCAAAGUAUGCUGGCUAACCAGCAGGGUCAGACCAAUGCGGCAGGCACCACCGCCGCCGGGCAGACCAGUGCCACCGGAGAUCAAAGCCAGGCCUAUGGUUCUAGCACCAGUUACAGCAGUCCCAGCUCAGCUAGUCUUGGGUGGGCUGCAGGCACUAACUCUGCCUCCAGCAGUGGGUUCAGCUCUGGCUUUGGCACCUCUAUGGAGUCAAAGUCAUCAGGUUGGGGAAUGUAGAGAGCUUUGAUUGAUAGUCUUUCUUCUAGAUUAAUCUGGUAAGUAUUUUGAGGGGCAAGAAAGAGUUAUAGUCAUAUCAUAUGUCCCUGCUAUUUAAAACUAUUGCCUUUUGUCGUUUUGUUAAAGAAGACAUUCAUUUUGUGUGUGUGUGUGUGGGUGACUAAUUCUGUAGGAAAUGAGUGCACAGAGUGGUUGAAGUGUAUAGUUUGUUAGUGGUAAACUGCUACACUACAUUUGUAGUUUUUUGUUUUUCUUGAGAAAAAGUUAUUUUGUAUAAGACAUCAGAUGAUGACUGCAUGCUAAGUAGAUAUUUCUGAGAUGCACAAGUAUCACGACACCGCCCCUCAACCACCUGUAUAUGGUUAAAUGGUCUUGAAUUGGGUUUGAUGUUUAAUCUCUGUAUGCAGUUGAUUGUAUCUUUUUUGUUUGCCGUUUUAUGGAAACGCCUUCAUGAAAAUCUCUUCAACAGUUAACCAACUGUUUUCGAAUUUCCCGGGAAGAAGCCCCUCGUUGGCAGCAAUGUUCGACUGAACUCAGUAUCGGUACCCCUCUUCCCAUGUGUAAAUGCUUUGCCAUCAAAAGACACAGCUUCACUCUGCAUAUACUGUGUUAGACGGGACCUUGGACACGGCUGGCCCAGGUUUACAUCUGAACCCCAGAGUGAAGUCAAUUUUCGGGAAGCUGAAGACUGGAGUUUGCACUGUUGGUUGGGGGCUGCCUUAUGCCUGAAAAGGGACUUCUUCACCUCACUAACAAGACCCCUUGGAUCACCCCCACUGAAAUUUAAAACAGACCAUUCUCAAUUGGGCAGAGGUAUUAGAUUUAUACCUUCAAACAAGUACAUUUUAAAAGCAAGUCCAACAUUGCAUUUAUUUAACAAAUUGCCUGCUAUUCAGUGACGAUCAUGUUUUUGUUUAGUCUUUUUUUAAAGAAAUGACCUUUAAAUAUUGCUUUUGAAAGAUUAAUUUUGUGUCGUUCAAUUAUGCUUUGUCCCAAUACAGCCAUUGGUUAUUGUAAAUGAAAAGAUUUAAGUUAAAGGCUUUUAUUUCAAGUAUUCCGUAGAUAUCUUUUUCAUGUGGUUCAAAAUGUACAAUUUCAGUCGGAUUUACUGGACAUUCAAAUUAUUUUAAGGCUGUAAAGGGGAGUGACUUGAGUCAGUUUUACAGGGUUUUAGAUAUUUGGAAAAUUGUUGAUUGAACUCGCCAGCAGAGGGGUAUACUACAGAGCAAGUUCAAUGAGUUAGCCAGCUAACUUGCCUAAAUAUUCUGAAAUAACUUUGGUCACAACAACCAAAAAUGCAUAUCUAAGUUUAGUUUUCUUAAAUAGAAAAACAAUAGUUAUUUCUGGUUCUUUAUCGAAGUUAGCUGGCUAACUAGUUUAACCUACUUUGUAGUAUACCCCUCAGGAAUCUAUCACUUGUGUACAGAUAUUGAACUCUUUAUUUUUAGUUCUCUGAAGUGUAAAAUAAAGUUUUAAAUUUGUAAUAA